rnacentral:snRNA from 1 species
GUGCUCACUUCGGCAGCACGUAUACUAAAAUUGGAAUGAUACAGAGAUGAUUAGCAUGGCCCCUACGCAAGGAUGACAUGCAAAUUCAUGAAACAUUCCAUAUUUAA